UCCAUCGCCUCCGGGGCCCGCCCCUGACGCCACAGCGGAAGGCGCCGCUCCGGGAUUGGACGAGCUGGCCUGUCAAUCAAGCGCGGCGCUGAGGAGUUCGGUGAGCUGAGACUGCGCGGCGCUCAGACCGGAGAAGUUGACUUCCUGUAGCCUCCAUCAAUAGCACUCUCAGGACCAGCACCACAUCUGCCUGUGGGCCUCCAUGUUCCCGUCAUGAUGAUAAUGCACUGAACUUCUAAAACUGACUUGGGGUUGAAUCUACAGCAGCUUGCUACAUACUAGAAAGCACAGCUUUAGUCUGUAUUCAUGGGUUUCCAACUUGCUCGUAAAUCUCCCCUCCCUGAUCACCUCUCAUCUAUAGACUUCAGGCACAAUAUCAAGCUUCAUAUUAGGUAAGUCAUUUCCUUCUGAUAAUUGCUUUGGUGGUCCUGAAUUUCACGCUCUGAUCCUUUGAAUUGUUUCUGUCAAUAUUUUUGUCUCUUUGUAUUUUAUAUCCUUGAGGUUGCAGGCAUGCCUUUUCUCAGGUCAGUUCCAAAGGUCCUUAAUACACAGCUCUUUGCUAUGGGAAAUGUUUGUACUGCCAGGCUUACAGUUUGCCAAUCUUUGAUGUUUGACCUUGCUGUCAUGGACAAAAACCAACUGUAUUUACUUGGCCCUAAGAGACUCACAUUUCUUUGCCAUUCUAAACAGUGACUGGACCCAUCACUGCUCACCCUUUCCAACUAUUUUCUCUGUGCUCAAAAAGCAAGGGGCAAAUUAAAAUGUCCUUUCUAGGCAUAUUUCCAACUGGUGAGUGAGAAGGCACAACUAAAUUGAGAUGCCAUUGUUUUUUAAAGGCUCUGAGCCCCUGUUGUUCAUACAUCUUUAUUAGGUGUAGUUCAUCCCAAAUCACUUACCAGGAAAAGAAGAAGAGAGGAAGGAGGAAGAGGAGAGUUAGAAAGAGAGAGAAGUGGUAGUGAGUCUGGAGUGAAUGACUGAGGACAAAGGGGCUCACUGAAAGGUUGGAAACAAGGGCUUAUAAUACUUUAUAAAAACUACUGACCAGUAGCUUUUUUCUGUUUUCAAACUUGGGCCUAGAAUAAGAUAUACCUUGAGUUUGCCUAAGAACAAUAAUCAAGAAAUGCUAACAUCUUGGAAUCGGCUUUGUGAAAUAGAUAAGGUACUUCAAAAUACUUCAGAGUUGUCACCAGAAUUAUGAUGACACUUCAUUAAAUCCACAUUAAAAAGUUACUGCUUAAUUUCUUAGUACUUUUUAUACUAGCCAGAAGUAACUAUUUUCUACAUUUUAAGUUUUGAAGAGUAAAACAGACACAAUUUUAGAUUGAUAUGUGUAUGUGUGUGUGCACUAAUACAUAUUGACUGUGUGUGUGUGUGUGUGUAUGUGUGUGUGUGU